AUUGAACGCUGGCGGCAUGCUUUACACAUGCAAGUCGAACGGUAACAGGCCGCAAGGUGCUGACGAGUGGCGAACGGGUGAGUAAUGCAUCGGAACGUGCCCAGUCGUGGGGGAUAACGCAGCGAAAGCUGCGCUAAUACCGCAUACGAUCUAUGGAUGAAAGCGGGGGACCGUAAGGCCUCGCGCGAUUGGAGCGGCCGAUGUCAGAUUAGGUAGUGGGUGGGGUAAAGGCGCACCAAGCCAACGAUCUGUAGCUGGUCGGAGAGGACGACCAGCCACACUGGGACUGAGACACGGCCCAGACUCCUACGGGAGGCAGCAGUGGGGAAUUUUGGACAAUGGGCGCAAGCCUGAUCCAGCAAUGCCGCGUGCAGGAAGAAGGCCUUCGGGUUGUAAACUGCUUUUGUACGGAACGAAACGGUCCUGGUUAAUACCUGGGGCUAAUGACGGUACCGUAAGAAUAAGCACCGGCUAACUACGUGCCAGCCGCCGCCGUAAAAC
rnacentral:rRNA from 1 species